GAAGAGAACGCCCUUUUUAGGUUUCUUGGCCACUUUGGGGGGUGCAGGCCGGGGCAGGCCAUUGAGGCCUAAGGCAGGGCUGGGGCCAGGGCCCUGGCUGGCCUCCCGGGCCACCAAGCUCACACUCAGGUCCAUGCCACCCUGCUCUGCCCACGAGGCCAGUGGCCCAAGCUGCCGGCUGUCAGGCCCCACCACCGACCUCCCCACGCACAGCGCUCUGGGCCAGGCCACGCGAUCAAAUUCUGCCGCGGCGCUGGAAAGGAGCCCACGCCUGCCCUGGCACUGCCACCUUCUGUGCAGCUGUAACCCGAGUGGCCCUACAGCCAUGCCCGGCUAAAUAUAAAACUUCCCAGACUGAGCCCCCGAAGAGCCAUGGCACAGAUCGGGGACAGCCCCCCAGGGGCUGGGUCACCCUGAAAGUGAGGUUUUCCAGUGGACAUAGCCCCGAAGAGCACUGGGGGGUAGGGAGGUCUCCAGAGGAAGGCAUGGAGGUGUCUCCUGGCCCCCCUACCCAGUGAGGAGGAGGGAGAGAGGCCAGCCCACACCCCGGCACCGGCUCAGGCCGGCAGAGUUCACUGGGCUUGGAGAAAUCCCAGCUAUUUGAGAAUCCGAGAGCUAGAUCAUCAUUUCCCCUUCUGAGCUGUGAGAGACACUCGGAUUAUUUCCCUUGUGCAUUUGUGUUCCCAGGGAGGUGACAGAUUCCAGAGUUAUUGGUGCAGAGAGCCUCUAUGUGUGGAAAGGGUAAAGAAACCGGGAAGUUUCCAGAAAGCACCCCAGCCUGGGCUGAUGAGGCCUUGGCCCCACCUCCCUGACCUCCCUCUCCACACAUUUCACUAGAUCCACCCAGACCAUGUUCAAGGUCACCUUCAGGGCAGUCUUCCCAUCAUGUAAGCCCAACGUAGCUGCCUUGCCCAGGUCCUGAGAUCCCCAAAGCCCAGAACACACAACCCACUUCACACACGAUCUCCCUGAACCCCAGAGAGGGGCAGAGCAGAGGGGUGCUGCUGGGAGGGAAGAAGCUCCAGGAGGGAGGGGAGAUCUGACCCACCACUCCACGCAGGUCAAAGCAGACACCACGGACAUGGAAGAGCAGCACUGAGGCCCGGUGGGCAGGCCAGUCCUGAAAGACCUGCGUGCCACAGAGCUCACACCGAGCAGUGGCAGGUAGGGCUGGGUCUGUCCCCAAGUCGGCCACUGGGCAACACGUGCUGAGGACCCUUCCCACCCCUGGUGGCCCUCAGUCAGUGGCAGCGUGGGGAAGAGGCGCAGGGCUCGAAACCCCAUGCAAGGCCCACGCAAGGCUUUCUGAGGGCAUGCCACCCACCCAAGGCCCUUGAAAGAAGGGGUUCCCCUCACACACACCCCAACGACAGUGAGAGAAGCAGGGGGUGUGGUAGACAGUACAUGGGACUGAAUCUGGCCCUGCCACAGAAUCACUUCUUCUGGGCCUCAGCCUGGGGAGCACACAGCAGGGCUGGGAGGGUCCCAUGAGACAACGCACGAGAAGUGCAGCGUGGUGCCUGACAGACACGCAGUGUCCCAAAGCCUGUGGAGCUGCCCGAAGGGAAGGACAUGGCCUGGGGUGAGAUCCCAGCUCCAUGCUGGCCAGCUGGUGGCUGCAGCACCCACCCCCAUGGACCUGCGGUAGGAGAGGGCCCAGCACCCAAGAAGUCUUGGCCAACCUGCCUAUUGUUAACACACUAGAGAGAGCUCGGCCAGGCCCUGUGGCCUUGGGCACAGGUUAUUGAACCCUCUGAGCCACAGGGGUAACAAGGCCAGACAGAGGGGCCAAAAACAGAAAGCUGGUCUCAUCACCUGGAGUACCAGUCCCACCAAGGGGACUCAUGGGAGACGGACGGGGCACACACAAAUGUACGGGAAGGGCUAGAACAGCAGGGCCCUGGGCAGGCCCUGUGCCUGCCCCGUGGCUGCAGGUAUAUUAAUAGUUGCUGGGUCCCAGGCGGGCAGUGCCCACAUGCCUUCAGAGCCGGUGUGGUCCACAGGAAGGCAACACCGUGCCUCCGGGGAAAGAGGCCUCCGAGUUCCUGCUGAACCACUCAACAGCUUAAAAUACAACCAGCCCUCUCCCUGCCUGCCAGCUGCUGGGGAAGGGCUAAAAUUCUACCCUCCCCCAACCGGGCAUGAGACCAGGGCCCAGGAGGAGAGGACAGCCGUCGGGGGCCCAACUGGCUGCUGGGAGAGGAAGCUGGGCAGCAGGAGAGGGCGGCCAGGAGAGGGGCUAUACUCCCAGCAGCCGCCACACUGCGCCCAGGCCAGCCCAAGACCAAAGGACAGGAGAGACUGAGCCCUCACAGAGGAAGGCACUGUUGGAUCAGAAGACUGGAAGAGGCCGGAGAUGCUGACCCCUGUGGACACAGGCUGACCAGAGCGGCAGGAGGAGCUCAUCCAGGCCGGCCCCCAACCUGUGCGCCCAGCUCUCCCAGCCCCAGUGCAGCAAGCAGUUCCAGGCCUGCCCUGAGCCACCAUCAACUUGCAUCAUUGGAAACCCAUGAUGAUCUGAUAUCAGGGACAUGCCCUGUCUUGGACCACAGGCACCCCAGACUCCCAGAGCCAAAAGGAACCAUGUCACCCGCAAAGAAGGAAACAGGCCCUGAGAGGUGUCGGACACACUAUGUUCCCCAAAUCAAAAGGUAGUGGAGAGAGAAAAAGAGGAGGUGCAUUCAAAAGAGCCGAAAAUAUUCAUGAAGCGUCCACUGCAACCGAGUGCCAGACACUGUUCAAGGUACCGCCGACCCCGCACUGACAGGUCCCAGGGCCUGCCCCGGUGGGGUCGCAGGCUGAGAGCAGGUGACAUUGGUCGUGGAAACCAAGAUAAUUUCAGAUGUCAGUGGCACGUGUUCUUGGGAAAACGGUAAAGUGAAAGGCCCGGGAGCAGAGGGACUGG